AGUUCUAGUCAAAUGAUUGGAUUCAAAGAUGUGGGCUAGAGGAUUUGAACCUGACAUAUUUGAACUACGAGAGUAGAGAUUCAAGUUAGACUUUUGUACUUUAAAUUUAUAUUUGCUUUAGGGACUUUAAGAAGCAAACAAUAACUCUCACUAUUUUUUCAGAUCUCUCCACUCUCCUGAUGGGAAGAAAAAACCCUAACAUGACAAUUGAAUUUCUAGUGGAUGCUGCAGUCUUAUCGAUACCAUAUACCUUACCUAACGAUUAUUGGUAACAUGCACAC
rnacentral:lncRNA from 1 species